rnacentral:rRNA from 1 species
UCGGCAAUGGGCGAAAGCCUGACCGAGCGACGCCGCGUGAGCGAUGAAGGCCAUUAGGUUGUAAAGCUCUGUCGAGGGGGAACAAGCCGCAAGGUUGAGUGAUCCCUGGAGGAAGCACGGGCUAAGUUCGUGCCAGCAGCCGCGGUAAGACGAACCGUGCGAACGUUGUUCGGAAUCAUUGGGCUUAAAGGGCGCGUAGGCGGGUGUUCAAGUCCGGGGUGAAAGCCUCCAGCUCAACUGGAGAAGAGCCCCGGAUACUGUUCACCUGGAGAGAGAUAGGGGCACAUGGAACUUCCGGUGGAGCGGUGAAAUGCGUAGAGAUCGGAAGGAACGCCGGUGGCGAAAGCGAUGUGCUGGAUCUUUUCUGACGCUGAGGCGCGAAAGCUAGGGGAGCAAACGGGAUUAGAUACCCCGGUAGUCCUAGCCCUAAACGAUGGGUACUGGGUUGCGGGUCAGACAUAGACUCGCAGCCGAAGCAAAAGUGUUAAGUACCCCGCCUGGGGAGUAUGGUCGCAAGGCUGAAACUCAAAGGA